GCGGUGAAGGAUGAGCUCGCGGCCUAUCAGCUUGUUGGUGAGGUAAUGGCUCACCAAGGCUUCGACGGGUAGCCGGCCUGAGAGGGUGACCGGCCACACUGGGACUGAGACACGGCCCAG
rnacentral:rRNA from 1 species